CUUCAUUCACCCAGGACAUCACAAGCUUAGUGAUCUUGGAAAGGCUUUGACAGAGGAGUGAAAAACUGGCGUGUUUUGGUUUGUUUAUUUGUUUCAGUUAAAUAAACUGUAAGACAAAGGUGAUUUAAAAUGACAAAAUAUAGUCUCUGAGCUCAGUCAUAAAAAGGAAUCAAGGGAUUAUGUAAUUGUAUUAUGUAUUUAUUUGGUCUAAACAAAAAAGAGCUUUAUUCUCUCAUGUAAGUGAGUAGUCCGGAGGUCACGUGGGCUUCAGAUAAGGCCUCAUGAACAGCUGGACGAGACAAUGAAGACCCAGUGUCUUUCUGUCUCUUCUUAGUCUCCAUGGUGACGGCUUUAUUCUUGGGCUGUCUUGCCAGAUGAUCACAAGAUGGCUGCCAGACACAACCUGAGUUAUGGAUGUCCUCAUUCACAUUUCCUCAGAGAAAGGAAACUUCUUUCCCAGAAGCCCCUGGCAAAGUCACCUUGCAUUGGCCUGCAUUGGGUGACUAUCCCUAAGCCAAUCUCUGGAGCUAGGAUGAUAGGGGUCACUGGUUGGUUUAAACCUCCCAAGGUCUACCCAGAGAAUUGCAAUGAUGUUAAUCCCUGCCAACAGCAUGGCUAGGAAGUAUGGGACCCUGUUAGGAAAGAGAAAAGAAGAAAAAUGCCUGUGGGGAGGCCACCCUAUGCCCUAUAUUUUUCCUCGUCAUCCUCACCAGGUAGUGUUAUUUAAAGGACUUUAAUAUUUUAAAAGGCAAAUUGCUCCCAAAAGGUCUAUUGCCCUCAAAUUUCAUUUUCAGUAGCCUGAAACCCAGUAUUAGACUUAUUGAUUUGGGGUAAGGCGCGGGAUUUCCUGAAAAACCUUUGCUUCAUUCAUUCAACUUACCUCAUUCAUUAAUUCCUCGGUAGACAUUUCUUGGGUGCUGGUUAUGUGUCAUACACUCUGCAGGUCUUGCCUGAGAGGAUAAACACAUCAUAAGCCAUUAGGAUCGGUGGCACUAGCACAUGGGGCACUUGUACUCUUUAUGAAGGUCGGGAAGCAAGUAGGAGGGCACGGGAGACAGGACAGGUAAGUUUUGAUCGUGAGGAGGGAAGAGGCCUAGGAGUUGGGCAUAGGGUGAUGCCCAGAGAGACUGCACCUGCAUGAGUCCCUCAGUGAGGACCCGGGGUGGGCUCUUAGUUCUUUGAAACUCAGAAAGGGAGACUGCUGUGAGGGCUGCAUUUGGGGACUUGAAGCAGUGCCUGUUUUGCCGUCUUAUGAGGGCAGGCUUUGUAAUUGGGGUUUCCAGUCCCCCAGUUAGGAAGUCUCUGGGGGAAAGAUGACUAGAGUCUGUGGUUCUUGAUUUGGGCUUGGAGAGGAUUUGGGGGUAAGAUGCUAGGAAAUGAGAGUGAAAUCUCUGAAACUUACAGGAAGAAUCUUCCCCAGUCCAGCUUGUCUGCUGCUCUCCUGACGCUGGAACAGCUUCUCAGGAGUUUUCCAUUUUUCAUGGCACAAUUCUUUCUCCUGCAAGGAUAAGAGAAUAAGAGCUUCAUAACCCAAAUAGUUCACAGCGUGGUAUUCGCCUCUAUUUAAAAUCAUCUCCCAUUGGGUUCAAUUAACAAUGUACAUGUCAAAUUAUGUCACACCCAUUACUUGCUCUAAUUUGGUCAGGCUGGGUCAGGCAGUCCCUGAACUGAUGGAGCUGUUAACCUCCCAGCAGAGAGUCACGGUGGCUGUGCCUGCACUGCCCUUGGCCUUGGCUGUGUCAGGGCAGAACACUGUACUGGGAAAGUACCAGGCAGUGCUGCAGGAAAGGUCAAGUUCGUGACGACAGUGACCAGUCAUCAAGCCCUUUACCAGAGCUUUGCCUCUAGAGAUGACUAUGUGAAUUGAAUCGUGGCUCUGUCAUUUAGCAGCUGUGUGAUCUUGGGCACGUGAACUUUUCUGAGCCUCAUUUUCCACAUCUGUAAAAUGAGACUAUUAUAACACUUCAUUUAUAUUUAUACUUUUAAUUAUAUUGAUAUUUAUUUCACUAGGGUUGUAGUGAGGAUUAAAUGCCAUAAUGCAUGUAAAGUGUUUUGCAUAAUGCCUGGCACUUAGGAUUAACUCAAUACCAGCUAUUUAGUAGUAGUAUUUAAUUUUUAAAAAAUCUUGUUUGGUCCCUCAAAACUGGGAUUCCUUCUGAGAUCACAUUCAGGAAAUAUUUCAUCAGCCCUCAAGAAACUCGGAGAAGACAGGCAGUCUUUCCUGGAACGGGUAGAGGGGAACCAAAGGAUCUGCAAUGGUACCUAGACAUCAGGAUUAUUAAUAUGUGUGCCAAGAGCAACCCUGACUUUAAGAACACCUCUGUGUGGGCACAGAAAGCUUCUUUUUCUGCCUUGGGGUUUCACAGGUCAAUCAAUCUGUGUGGUCAAUCUUUGUGCGGUCAAUCUGCAGAGCCCCAAGGGAGAAGGUAGAAGGGUGCUGGGCACUCUCUCCAUUUUAAGUAGAGGUAAACUGGCUGGGCGUGGUGGCUCACGCCUGUAAUCUUAACUGCUUUUUAGGAAAUGGUGUAAGAAAAGGCUGUGCCAUAAACUCAAAAUCCUACUAAUCCCCAGUUCUCAGCCCCAAACCGAAGAAAGAUUACAUUUCCAGUCCAGUUUCUAAUCCCAAGUAUCCAUGCACCCAGGAUGGCGGGAAAAGGGAAAAGGCGGUACCUUAAAUGAGGGAAGGACAUCUCAGUCUUGGCCAGUUCUUACUCUUCCCAGGGGCCACCCUCAAGCCCCACCCUGAGCAGGUAAGUGAGGCAGGCAGGCAGCCUGGGAGCAUGUGUGGGAGGGAAUCCAACGGUGUUCUCCAGGCUGCAAGAGCUGGGCAGACACA
rnacentral:lncRNA from 10 species